CUGAAACUCGCCUACAUGAAGCUGGAGUUACUAGUAAUCGCAGAUCAGAAUGCUGCGGUGAAUGCGUUCCCGGGUCUUGUACACACCGCCCGUCACACCACGGAAGUUGGGGGCGCCCGAAGCCACUUAGCUAACCCUUUUGGGAAGCGAGUGUCGAAGGUGAAAUCAAUAACUGGGGUGAAGUCGUAACAAGGUACC
rnacentral:rRNA from 1 species